GUGAACACACUCUGGCUUAAGUAAUUAGGCAAAGAAUGUGGCUUUGUGCAGUUGUGGAGAGACUCAACUUGCUCUUAGAGUCUUUGUUUCUGUUCAGUCCCUGGAGUGCCCCUGCUUUCACUGCUGUCCUUUGCCACUAGACCGGGCAGAAAUCCGCCUUUUUCCUGCAUUCCUUCCACUGUUGUUGAUUCAGCUCAUUUUACAUACCAAGGCACCUUUCCUGAUUCCAUUCUUUGGCCAAAGACUCCCUCAGAACUUUAAGAACUUUAAGCCACCAAAUGCAGCAGGCACUUUUUUUUUUUUUUUUGAGAUGGAGUCUCGCUCUGUUGUCCUGGCUCACUGCAACCUCCACCUCCUGGGUUCAAGUAAUUCUUCUGCCUCAGCCUCCCAAGUAGCUGGGGCUAUAGGCGAGCGCCACCACACCCGGCUAAUUUUUGUAUUUUUAGUAGAGAUAGGGUUUCACCAUAUUGGCCAGGCUGGUCUCGAACUCCUGACCUCGUGAUCCGCCUGCCUUGGCCUCCCAAAGUGCUGGGAUUACAGGCGUGAGCCACGGCGCCUGGCCAGCAGGCACCUCUUAUGCUUGCUUUGAAAAUAUACUUAUGAGCCAUUUGAAGUGCUGUCUGCUCCUUGGCCUUCUGGCAUGAUUGUAAGCUUCCUGAGGCCUCCCUAGAGGAUGAGUACAUGGCAGCAUCAUGCUUCCUGUACAGGCCGCAGAACUUGUGAUAGAGGCCAAAUCCAUGCCAGGGCUGAAGACCAAGAAUGGAGUAAUGUCUGCAGAGAGAAGGGGUACAGCCAUAGAGUUCAGAAAACCAGGAUCCAGUGAUCUUGGAUAAAGGAAGCCAGAUGUCAUGUGUGGCGAGGCAGCCUAGAGAGAGGUCCCUAUGGUGAGAAACUGGGGCCCCGCUAACAGCCACCUAAGUGAGCUUGGAAGUGGAUCCUCUAGCACCUUAGGACUGCAGCCCUGGCCAGUAGUUUGACUGUCUCCUCAUGAGAGAACCUAUGCCAGAAUCACCAACUAAGCCUUUCCCAAAUUCCUGACCCACAGAAACUGUGAACUGGCCAUCUUGCCUGUUUUCAUAAAAGUCUGAAAUACGGAGGAGACCCUGAUUUAUAUUUUCCAUAGAAGAGAAGAGAGAUUGAGAUGACUCUCUUGCAGUGAGGUAUGGCGUGUCCUCUCCAUGACAAUGUGAGGGAAAGUGAUGUAUGCCACUUCCAGGUUCUAUGGAACCCUGGAAUGAAGAGGAUGCCAACCUUGAAAAGCUAUUCUAGUUCUUUCAAUGUGCCAUAAUGGUAUAGGAGCAAAUGUUUCUGCUGAGGACACAGCAACGAAGCACCAAUUUUCACUGAGGUUCCUCACCAAACACUGAAUCCGCAAGUGCCUUGAUAUUGAACUUUCCAGCCUCCAGAACUAUAAGAAAUAAAUUUCUGUUAUUUAUGAAUUACCCAGUCUCAGCUAUUUUAUUGUAGCAGCCCCAAUGGGCUAAGAUGGAGGGAUAGUAGAGUCAGUCUUAUGCUAAUUAUGGUUUGAGGUUACUUAGGCCUUAUUAGGCUAAAGUCAAACCAGAAAUGAACAUGGGCACAUUCCUCACAGCUCAGGUCCUG
rnacentral:lncRNA from 10 species